rnacentral:lncRNA from 1 species
UUGAUAUAAAAUUUGAAAGGGGAGAAUUGAAAAUGCCAAGAUUUGAAGUUCACGAUGGCACAGAACGAUUGAUAAGAAAUCUGAUGGCUUUUGAGCAGUGUCACUAUCCAAACGAUCCUUACAUAUGUGAGUAUAUAUUGAUAUUAGAUUUUCUAGUAGAUACUGAGAGAGAUGUGGAAUUGAUGAGAAGUGUAUAUUUUAGCAAUCUCUGGAGAGGGACUGGAACUAUUGCAGCACUUAUACUUUUAUUUCUCACUUUUAUACAAUCUGUAUACUCUCUCAGACGUAUAUUUUAAGUUCAGUGUGCUUAUGUUGUAGUAGUGAUGUUCUUAUAAUAUGUUGUUAUGGUGAUGUUAUUAUAUUUUAAUGUUCUUAUUAUAGUAUAUGUUAUUUUAAUAAGACUCUGCUCGGUUUGUGAUUUGUAUUUGUUUUCCAACUUUUGACAUUCUAAUAAGAGUUUGCUUUAUCUGUAUUGCAAAGUGCUUCGGCUCCCUUCAUCUCCUCCCUUCUUUUUAUUUCUUUGUUUAGCUAUCAGAAGGGCAGUGUCUUACUGUUUUAGCUGUAAGUUACCUUAUCGGCCGCAUUUGCCAAGUUUAAAGCCAUAAACUUUUAGUUCAAUUUUCAUAAUGACCAUUGCGCUCAAUGAUUCUAAACAUUUAUUUCAGUCCACAAGCGAAUUAAUUUUUAAUCUACUAUUAGUUUACAAGCCAAAUUGAUAAAAGAAAAAAGGGUUAAACCUACUCGUCAUUAAACUCCCUAAUCAACUGAAAAAUUUUCUGGGAAGGCACCACCCGAGACUCAAGAACUUUCUCUUAAUCUCUCUUUCCAAGCACUGACCCAUCAACAUCAUAAAAUUAAUCCUAUUAAUAAUUAACCAAAUAAUUCUAAAGGGAGAUUGGAGUCGAAAUCCUGAAAGAUCCCAAUCUCCGAUUGGCGAAUUGGUAACUGAAGUUGGAGCGGAAUUAGAUUCUGGCGUUCUUGCAUUGUUGUCUAUUCCAAAGCCGGACGACGUCGCCGGAGAUAUAAAUGCAGGUGAAAAGUUAACAAAGAAAUCAUUCUCCGUUAUUGAGUCCUUGAAAAUAUCAUUUUCUUCAUUGAGAGAAAAGGGUGGAAAUAUUUCCAAGUUUCGCUUUUACUGAGUCCUUCUCUGUAAUUGAAAGAUAUCUCUUUUAAUAGCUUGGGCUUCACUUCUUUGUGUUGUUGCUGUCGUUCUACUGAGCAAUUAUCCUCACCUUGUUGCGACUUGUCGUUUAUUGAAGCUGCUAAACGAGCAGCUUGAAAACAUGUGUGCCUUCCUCUAUAGGUCACUUCAAAUAUUGUAGGGUCUUGAUCUGAUCUCUGAACCUCGUGAGGGCAUCUAUAGUAUCUCUGCAAUAAAGUUUGCUAUCAAAAUUUUACCUAGGAAAAUUUACUAUAGUGCACUGAGAGAUCAAGACAUGAUAUAUAAUCAAUUACUAGUCAACGACAACAUGUACCUACAAAUUUGUCCGUUUCAGCGACAUUUGAUUUUUAUCCCUAAAUUGAUUGGAAAAAUAUGCACCCCACUAUAUAUAAUAUACCUAACACAUUUUUGUCGCUUUUGAAGGGAUAAAAUCUGUCUUUUGAAUUUUAUAGAAUUUUGUUUAAUUUUUCUAUAAUUUAAUUGGAUAUAUAUUUUUAAAUAUUUUUUAAAUAGAUAUAAAAAUAAUUAGACCUUUAAAAUUUUAAUAUUUUUUCAAACACUUUUAUAUAUGACUUUGUAAUUUUUUAAUUUAAUCUCAUUUAUAUCUUCUUUAAACUUGAUAAAAUACAUUCUAUUACCAAUAUUAUUGUUUACAAUUUUACAUAUUGAUUCUCACGUGUAGUUGAGAACUUUAAAUAAUUUAUUUUUUAAUUUUGUGCAAAGAUAUGGUCUAAAAUAUUACAUGCUAUUGAUAAAAUUUCAGCUUAACUUCAUCCGACGAAAAUAAUUGAUGUGGAGAUCAAAGUCAAGUAAGUCGUGAUUUAUUAGAUUAAUGUUAUAGCAUAGCCAAAUUAUAAAAUAUUUUACAGUAUGAUAAAUGCGAAUUUGUAGUGAAUUUAUAUAAUUAAUUAAUAAUAAAUAUGGAUAAAAUUUUUAAAAAUAAUAAUUAAUAUAGUCUCAAAAUCCUAAAUAAAUACUUAAAGUGUAACAAGAUAAAAUGUCUAAUUAUUACUAUUAAAGUGCAACGAAGGAGGGAGCACUGUAUUAGGACAGGACAGAUUGCAUUAUCGAGGAGAAAAGAACAAUGAAAUAGAUCAUUCGACUUAAAUUGAUUGGAAAAAUAUGCACCCUACCAUAUAUAAUAUACCUAACACAUUUUGUCGCUUUUGAAGGGAUAAAAUCUGUCUUUCAAUCGCCAAAACACUUCUUACACUUUAGGUUUGCACACUCCUCCAUUUCACAUAUAAACAUGUAUUUUCACAUUUAAAUUGAGAUAUUUAAAUUGAGAUAGUAUUGAGUUAAAAUUUUGUACCGGCGAGUUUUUAAAAAAUUACCCAGAAAUACACUUUUGAAACUACCUUAUUUUUUUAAGAAAAAACUUUAAUUUUGUUAUCCUUCAACUGAUUUACAAAUAAAAGAAAUUAAUAUAAAAGGUACGACUGAUAAAGGCAACGCAAUUAUCAAAUUUAAUUAAUUAAUUGGUAGGACCAGAGAGCGUUUCAUUAUUGAUGAGAACAGAAAAAUCAAAGAGAGCAUUCGUCUAUAAAAAUCUGAGUGCUUUCAACUGCUAGCCAGACCACUACUUCGGGCAAAGAUCUUGCACUUCAGGUAUGCACACUCUCCUGAAAAAUUUUGCCUUUUUUUUUUUCAUUACUGAAAUGAAAUAUUGAUAACUUUGAAUUAACUUUGAUUUCCAAUUCUUAUACAUGUCCUUGUAUAUCAGUUUUGAUCUCUCCCUGUCAAAAGUUCUUUUUGGUUGCUAAAAAGAUGUGUUGUGUGCAACUGUAGUUAAUUAAUUAACAAAUAGUUUUUUAAAAAAGAAUAUAUAUGUGAAGUAUAUUUCGUGUUCUUGGGCAGAUGGGACAGAAUGGUGAAGGAAGUAAUUCAAAUGAUGUCGAAGCUGAACGCAGAAAGCAAUUAGUCAUUGACAUACCAGACAACUUAGAGCCUUUACUAUCGCAGCCAGCUUUAUGGCCAGAAAUUUGUAUCUACAGAGCUCCAAGAAAACUUCGAGCUAUAAAUCCGUCAGCCUACACUCCUCAAAUGAUUUCCAUAGGCCCUUUUCACUACAAUCAAAAAUCAUUGAAACCUAUGGAGAAGCAAAAACUGAGAUAUUUGGCAGAAUUCUGCAGAAGGACUGGCAAGACUUGGGUUGAGCUUGAAAACAAAAUUAGAGAAUACGAAUUAACAAUCCGUCACUGUUAUGACCAAACAUUUGAGCAGUAUGAACAGAACAUGUUUGUAAGAAUGAUUCUAUUGGAUUCUGUGUUCAUCAUCGAAUUUUUCUUGAAAAGAGAGACAACAGAAGAAUCAGAAGAAUAUAAAGCUGAUUAUAUAUUAGGAAAACCAUCUCGCGAAGAUGCCAUAUUAGAAGAUUUGAUAUUGCUGGAAAAUCGGCUGCCUUAUUUUGUGCUUGAGGAUUUAUAUCAAUUUGCUACUGGAAAUUCUGAUUUUCGUCGGCUCGUGAUGUUCAACUUAUCGAAAUACCUGGAUCCUCCGGAACUUGAUGAUGAUGUUCAUAAAAAGCAUAAAACUUGCGAUUGCUUCUCCAUUUUUUAUGGGUUUUGGAUUUCGAAUAUGUUCUGCUGUCAAAAAGAGCACAAAGACGAUGAAAAUACAAGGACAGAAGGAAAAGAAAUUGAGAAGCCUAAGCACUUUACUGAUUUGAUUAGAAGAUCAAGAUCCUGCAAACAUCCAGAUCCAGUGUCAAAGAAUGGUGCUUGUAUUAAAAGUCUUUAUAAUGCUACAAAGUUACACGAGGCAGGAGUCAAGUUUAAGGUGGAUAAAAAGGCGUGGCCUCUUGAUAUAAAAUUUGAAAGGGGAGAAUUGAAAAUGCCAAGAUUUGAAAUUGAAGAUGGCACAGAACGAUUGAUAAGAAAUCUGAUGGCUUUUGAGCAGUGUCACUAUCCAUAUGAUCCUUACAUAUGUGACUAUAUAUUGAUAUUAGAUUUUCUAGUAGAUACUGAGAGAGAUGUGGAAUUGCUUAUUCAAAAUGGUAUUAUCACUAAUUUGCUUGGGGAGCACAAAUCAGUGGCUGAGAUGGUGAAUAAGCUUUGUCUUGAAAUUACAACACGUGGGUCUUGUUUCUAUGGAGUAAGUGUGGAUCUUAAUAAACAUUAUGAGAAUUGUUGGUUUAAGACUGGCGCUAGCAUGAGAAGUGUAUAUUUUAGCAAUCUCUGGAGAGGGGCUGGAACUGUUGUAGCACUUAGUAAGUGUCUGCUCGGUUUGUGAUUUGUAUUUGUUUUCCAACUUUUGACAUUCUAAUAAGAGUUUGCUUUAUCUGCAUUGCAAAGUGCUUCGGCUUCCUUCAUCUCCUCCCUUCUUUUUAUUUCUUUGUUUAGCUAUACCUUAUCGGUCGCAUUUGCCAAAUUUAAAGCCAUAAACUUCUAGUUCAAUUUUCAUAAUGACCAUUGCGCUUAAUGAUUCUAAACAUUUAUUUCAGUCCACAAGCGAAUUAACUUUUAAUCUACUACUAAUUUACAAGCCAAAUUGAUAAAAAAAAGGGUUACACCUACUCGUCACUGAACUCCCUAAUCAAUUGAAAAAUUUUCUGGGAAGGCACCACCCGAGACUCAAGAACUUCCUUUAAUAUCUCUUGCCAAGCACUGACCCAUCAACAUCAUAAAAUUAAUCCUAUUAAUAAUUAAGCAAAUAAUUCUAAAGGGGGAUUGGAGUCGAAUCCAUAUUGAAAGAUCCCAAUCUCCGAUUGGCGAAUUGGUAACUGAAGUUGGAGCGGAAUCAGAUUCCGGCGUUCUUGCAUUAUUGUCUAUUCCAAAGCCGGACGACGUCGCCGGAGAUAUCAAUGCAGGUGAAAAAUUAAUAAAGAAAUCAUUCUCCAUUAUUGACUUCUUGAAAAUAUCAUUUUCUUCACUGAGAGAAAAUGUUGGAAAUAUUUCCAAGUCGUCGCUUUUACUGAGUCUUCUCUGUAGUUGAAAGAUAUCUCUUUUAAUAGCUUGCGCUUCACUUCUUCGUGUUGUUGCUGUCGUUCUAUUGAGCAAUUAUCCUCACCUUGUUGCGACUUGUCGUUUAUUGAAGCUGCUAAACAACCAGCUUCAAAACAUGUGUGCCUUCCUCUAUAGGUCACUUCAAAUAUUGUAGGGUCUUGAUUUGAUCUCUGAACUUGUUUUGUGGCUAAACAACCUUGUGAGUGACGGUUAGUGCAUCUAUGGUAUCCUCUGCAACAAAACAUGUCGUUUAGUGAAUGUGGUGGGGUGUCUGGAAAACUCAGAAUUUUAUAUUUUAAGAUUAUAAAAGUCAAAAUUGAUGUGAAUAUCGUGGAAUGGAAAUGUUAUAUUUUUUGGUUCUUUAAAUCAAAUAAUUUUAUGUAUAAAAGUGAGAAGGGAAAUCAUGAAAUUUUCGAUAAUAUGUUUAAUGAAAUUUAAAAUGUUAUAAAAUAAUUUUAUUAAUAAUCAAUUAAUUUUUUAAACUAUUAUGCUUAAUAAAUAAUUAAAGUUAAACACAUACCAAUUAAAUUUUUAUUUUAAAUAUUAUCCUUAAUAGAUAAUUAACGUUAACUAUAUAUUAAUAAUAUAUUUUAUUUUUUAAUUAUUUUAAUGUCAUAUAAUAAGGCUAUACAUGAAAAUUAAAAAUUCUUUUAUUUACUAUAUAUGUUUUUAAUUUUAUUCAUUUUAUGAUUUAAAUUAAAUGUUAGAGCAAAAUACAUAUUAUAUACUUCAUGUAUUUAUUAUUUAACUUAAUAGAUAAUAAAAUAAAUUUACAAUCUAUAAUCUACAUACACGUGGGAAUAGAGGAGGAAAUUAUUAGAUUUCCUGAAGUAACCCUAGUUUAAUUUGAAAUUCAUGAUAUAUCAUUUUAAUUAAUUUUUUAUGCAUUUUAAUUGGAGAAAAUAAAUCUAUCUAUCAUUUUGAAGAUCCUUUUUAUUCUAUUUUUACUGCCUUUUAAUUGAAAAAAAUAUAUUUCAUUUAUACUUUUAAAUAUCCUUUUAGUUAGAUUUUUAUGCAUUUAAUUCGAGAAAAUAUUGUCCAAUGAUUUUUAUAAUUAAUAGUUUUUUCUAUUUUUAAUCAUAUAUUCUCAUGUUAUAUUACUUUUUAGGAGGUAAAUCAAAAACCUUAUUUCAACUAUUGAAAGUGGAACUUAAAUUUUAUUAAUUUAUAAUGUUCUAAAUUUUUUAAAAUAUGACUAAACACUUUAUUAUUAUACUAUAUUAAUUAAUUACAAUGAAAUUAAAAUAAUUUUUAAAAAUAUAUUAUUUCUCUUUAAUUUAAUUUAGAGAGGAUGGUGUACACUUAUUUUAAUCAUUUACGUAUUAUUGUAUUUUAAAAUUUUUUAAAUUUAACAAAACAAUGGAAUUAUGAAAUUCUAGUAUUUGACUAAUAUAAAAAAUAGAUUUUUUUUAGUCUAAUGAAUUUUUUUUGAAAAAAAUAUGCUAUAAAUAUUUGAAUUUGCUAUUAUUUUUUUUUUCAACCUUUCUAUAUUAAAAAUGAAAUAAAAAGAAAAUUCAAGAGCUCUAUUUUCAUUCAAUAUUUUAUUCUUUUAUUUUUGAAAUUUAUAGAAUUUUAUUUAAUUUUUCUAUAAUUUAAUUGGAUAUGUUUUUUUAAAUAUUUUUUAAUAGAUAUAAAGAUAAUUAGACAUUUAAAAUUUUAAUAUUUUUUCAAAUAUUUUUACGUGUGACUUUGUAAUUUUUGAAUUUAAUCUCAUUUAUAUCUUCUUUAAACUUGAUAAAGUACAUUUUAUUACCAAUAUUAUUAUUUACAACUUUGCAUAUUGAUUCUCAUGUGUAGUUGAGAACUUUAAGUACUUGAUUUUUGGAUUCUAUGCAAAGACAUGGUCCAAAAUAUUACAUGCGAUUGAUAAAAUUUCAGCUUAACUUCAUCCGAUAAAAAUAAUUGAUGUGAAAAUCAAAGUCAUAUAUUAUACGGUAGCUAUGCAGAGUAAGUCGUGAUUUAUUAAAUUAAUGUUAUAACAUCGCCAAAUUAUAGAAUAUUUUGCGGUAUGAUAAAUGCAAAUUUGUAGUGAUUUUCUAUAAUUAAUUAACAAUAAAAUUAUAUAUAUAUAUAUAUUAAAGAGGGAGAAACAUAAACAUCAUUUUCUUUUUAAUUAGAUAUUAUAAUAAAAUACAUGUUCAAUAUUUCAUUGUAUAUAUAAAAUGCAACAUUAAUAAAUCAUUAUUUUUAUUUUUAUCUAAAUAAAAAUUUAUACUUAAAUAUUAUGUAAAUUAAAAAUAAAAAAGUUAAACUAGUAAAGUACACGUGGCACUCCCGUCAUAAAAUAACUAGUCAUAAUAAAUGUAAGAACAUUAAAGAGUUAAAGACUUAUGUUAGAAGGUGAGGGCUAUUAAAGUUUGCCACCAAUAUUUUUCUUUGGAAAAUUAACUAUAGUGUACUGCGAGAUCAAAACAUGAAAUAUAAUCAAUUACUAGUCAAUAACAACGUAGAACUACAAAUUUAUUGCUUUCUCAGUUCCAGCGAAGUUUAAUUUUUUCACAAAAAUUAAAAAAUGAAUGAAACAUAUUGAUUUCUUAAAAUCUAGAGUAGAAUGUGUAAAUUGUCCUUAAAAAUUAAAAGCUAUUCAUCUAAUUUUUGAUACAAAACAUCUUAUAAAUAUGAGUAAAAUUAAAAAAAUAAUAAUUUAUAUAGUUUCAAAGUCCUGAAUAAACACGUAAAUUAAAAUAAAAUAAAAUAUUUAAUUGUUAAUAUUAAAGUGUAACGGAUGACGGAGUACUAUAUUAGAACAGGACAGAUUGCAUUAUCGAGGAGAAAAGAAGAGUGAAAGAGAGCAUUCGUCUUAAAUUGGUUGGAAAAAUAUGCACCCUACUAUAUAUAAUAAACCUAACACAUUUUUGUAGCUUUUGAAGGGAUAAAAUCUGUCUUUCAAUCGCCAAAACACUACUUGCACUUCAGGUUUGCAGACUCCUCCCUUUCAUAUAUAAACAUGUAUUUUCACAUAUAAAUUGAGAUAGUAUUCGGUUAAAAUUUUGCUACGGUGAAUUUUUUAAAAAUUACCGAGAUUAUUUUUUUAAAGAAAAAACUUUAAUUUUCUUAUCCAUCAACUUAUUUACAAACAAAAACAAAAGUAAUAUGAAAUGCAUGAUUGAUAAAGAAAAUACAAUUAUCAACUUUAAUUAGUGGGAAGGAUAGGAUAGCGUUGCAUUAUUAAGGAGAAAAGAAAAAUCAAAGAGAGUAUGUGUCUAAUACGCGGCCAACAAAUUUUUUUCGCUUUUGAAGGAGAAAAUCUGAGUGCUUUCAACUCCUAGCUAGACCACUGCUUCAGACAAAGAUCUUGCACUUCAGGUAUGCACACUCUCCUGAAAAUUUUGCCAUUUUCUUUUUUCAGUACUGAAACAUUAUAUUGAUAACCUUGAAUUAACUUUGAUUUCCAAUUCUUAUGCAUGUCGUUGUAUAUCAGUUUUCAUCUCUCCCUAUCAAAAGUUCUUUUUAUUUGUUAAAAGAUGUGUUUGUGUCCAAAUGGAGUUAAUUAGCUAACAUUUAAAAAAAAAAAAAAAAANNNNNNNNNNNNNNNNGUUCUUGGGCAGAUGGGACAGAAUGGUGAAGGAAGUAAUUCAAAUGAUGUCGAAGCUGAAAGGGGAAAGCAAUUAGUCAUUGACAUAACAGACAACUUAGCGCGUUUACUAUCGGAGCCAGCUUUAUGGCCAGAAAUUUGUAUCUACAGAGUUCCAAGAAAACUUCGAGCUAUAAAUCCGUCAGCCUACACUCCUCAAAUGAUUUCCAUAGGCCCUUUUCACCACAAUGAAGAUUCAUUGAAACCUAUGGAGAAGCAAAAACUGAGAUAUUUGGCAGAAUUCUGCAGAAGGACCGGUAAGAAUUGGGCUGCUCUUGCAGAGAAAAUUAUAGAAUGGGAAGAAACAAUCCGUCACUGUUACGACCACACAUUUGAGUCAUUUGAACACAACAUGUUUGUAAAACUGAUUCUAUUGGAUUCUGUGUUCAUCAUCGAAUUUUUCUUGAGAAGAGGAGAGAAUUUUCUUUCGACAGAAAAAUAUAAAGCUGAUUAUAUAUUAGGGAAACCAUCGCGCGAACAUGGCAUAUUAGAAGAUUUGAUAUUGCUUGAAAAUCAGCUGCCUUAUUUUGUGCUUGAGGAUUUAUAUGAAUUUGCUACUGGAAAUUCUGGUUUUCUUUCUCUCGUGUCCUCCAACUUAUUGGAUUACCUGCUUCCUCCAAGAAUUGAUGAUGACGAUCAUAAAAAGAAUAGAUCUUGCGACUGCUUCUCCAUUUUUUAUGGGUUUUGGAUUUCGAAUAGGUUCUGCUGUCAAAAAGAGCACAAAGACGAUGAGAGUACAAGCGUAGAAGGAAAAGAAAUUGAGGAGAAACCUAAGCACUUGACUGAUUUGGUUAGAAGAUCAAGAUCCUACAAACAUCCAGUGUCAAAGAAUGAUGCUUGUAUUGAAAGUCUUUAUAGUGCUACAAAGUUAAAUGAGGCAGGAGUCAAGUUUAAGUUGGAUAAAAAGGCGUGGCCCCUUGAUAUAAAAUUUGAAAGUGGAGAAUUGAAAAUGCCGAGAUUUGAAGUUCAUGAUGGCACAGAACGAUUGGUAAGAAAUCUGAUGGCUUUUGAGCAGUGUCACUAUCCAAAUGAUCCUUACAUAUGUGAGUAUAUAUUGAUAUUAGAUUUUCUAGUAGAUACUGAGAGAGAUGUGGAAUUGCUUAUUCAAAAUGGUAUUAUCACUAAUUUGCUUGGGGAGCACAAAUCAGUGGCUAAGAUGGUGAAUAAGCUUUGUCUUGA